CCUACGGGAGGCAGCAGUAAGGAAUAUUGGUCAAUGGACGAAAGUCUGAACCAGCCAUGCCGCGUGAAGGAUUAAGGUCCUCUGGAUUGUAAACUUCUUUUAUAGGGGACGAAAAAAGGGCAUUCUUGCUCUCUUGACGGUACCCUGUGAAUAAGCACCGGCUAACUCCGUGCCAGCAGCCGCGGUAAUACGGAGGGUGCAAGCGUUAUCCGGAUUCACUGGGUUUAAAGGGUGCGUAGGCGGGUAGGUAAGUCAGUGGUGAAAUCUCGGAGCUUAACUCCGAAACUGCCAUUGAUACUAUCUAUCUUGAAUAUUGUGGAGGUUUGCGGAAUAUGUCAUGUAGCGGUGAAAUGCAUAGAUAUGACAUAGAACACCUAUUGCGAAGGCAGCAGGCUACACAUAUAUUGACGCUGAGGCACGAAAGCGUGGGGAUCAAACAGGAUUAGAUACCCUGGUAGUCCACGCCCUAAACGAUGAUUACUCGACAUACGUGAUACACUAUGUGUGUNUGNGNGAAGANAUAAGUAAUACACCNCGGAGUACGUCCGCGAGAGUAGAACGUACGAAGAAGUUAGACGGACGUUGAGACGNGCCGACGGACGACGACGAGGGAGGAGGG
rnacentral:rRNA from 1 species